CCUACGGGUGGCAGCAGUGAGGAAUAUUGGUCAAUGGACGAGAGUCUGAACCAGCCAAGUAGCGUGAAGGAUGACUGCCCUAUGGGUUGUAAACUUCUUUUAUAUGGGAAUAAAAUGUUCCACGUGUGGGAUUUUGUAUGUACCAUAUGAAUAAGGAUCGGCUAACUCCGUGCCAGCAGCCGCGGUAAUACGGAGUAUCCGAGCGUUAUCCGGAUUUAUUGGGUUUAAAGGGAGCGUAGGUGGAUUGUUAAGUCAGUUGUGAAAGUUUGCGGCUCAACCGUAAAAUUGCAGUUGAAACUGGCAGUCUUGAGUACAGUAGAGGUGGGCGGAAUUCGUGGUGGAGCGGUGAAAUGCUUAGAUAGCACGAAGAACUCCGAUUGCGAAGGCAGUUCACUGGACUGCAACUGACACUGAGGCUCGAAAGUGUGGGUAUCAAACAGGAUUAGAUACCCGGGUAGUC
rnacentral:rRNA from 1 species